rnacentral:pre_miRNA from 1 species
AGCCUUUGGCGGCUGUGAUAUGAUAAUUAUAUACAUAUCACAGUCAUGCUAAAGAGCUUG